rnacentral:rRNA from 1 species
ACAUGCCUACAUCAUAGCGUUAAUGCAUCGGAUCCCAUUAGAACUUUGCAGUUAAGCGCACUUAGGCUAGAGUAGUACUGGGAUGGGUGACCGCGCAAGAAGUCCUAGCGUUUUACAUGCC